GUCUAUUUUUCAGUUGGUACAUUUUAAUAAUGUGUACUGAGUUAGAGUAGACAAAAAUACCCUUAUAUAUUAUGGAUUCUAAGUUUUAAAAUCAAUGAUAUUUAAAUAAUUUUCAUUCUCAAAACUAAAAAAACAAGAAACCCCCAAACCCACCUCUCUCAUUUCUCUCAAUCAUUUUUCUUUCAUCUCUCUCACUCUAACCUUUUCUUUGUCAUCUCUACUGUAGCCCCAAUUAAAA
rnacentral:lncRNA from 1 species